rnacentral:rRNA from 1 species
UGGGGAAUAUUGGACAAUGGGCGAAAGCCUGAUCCAGCCAUGCCGCGUGUGUGAAGAAGGUCUUCGGAUUGUAAAGCACUUUAAGUUGGGAGGAAGGGCAUUAACCUAAUACGUUAGUGUUUUGACGUUACCGACAGAAUAAGCACCGGCUAACUCUGUGCCAGCAGCCGCGGUAAUACAGACGGUGCAAGCGUUAAUCGGAAUUACUGGGCGUAAAGCGCGCGUAGGUGGUUUGUUAAGUUGGAUGUGAAAUCCCCGGGCUCAACCUGGGAACUGCAUUCAAAACUGACUGACUAGAGUAUGGUAGAGGGUGGUGGAAUUUCCUGUGUAGCGGUGAAAUGCGUAGAUAUAGGAAGGAACACCAGUGGCGAAGGCGACCACCUGGACUAAUACUGACACUGAGGUGCGAAAGCGUGGGGAGCAAACA